UUAUUUUUAUAUAUAAAGAGAGAGAGAGUUGAGCUGGAAUGCUAUCAGUAGCAAACAGACUUUAUUGCCACCCAUUUGUUUUCGAUGAUUAUGGAGCCUCUAAAUCGACGAUCGGUACCGUUGAAUAUAAUCUAUACCACUUGAAGUAUGUAAAAAUUAAAUUUCACAUCUUUUUGACAUCAUUAAUUAAGCUAAUGAUGCUUCAAAAUUUGUAAUUUUUAACAGUUAAUAUGAGGCGUUUUUUUGUUUAACGGCAUAAAAAUAUCCUAAUCAAUUGAAUUUUGAUUAGAAAAUUUUUUAACUAUUUAAAAAAUGAUCUAUACUUUUAAUCUUGAUUACAAGAUUUCUAUCAUUAUUUCUUAAAGGAUGUUUAUUUUCAACCGUUCAUUUUUGUGUUCACUUGAUGGAUAAAAGAACAAUAUCUGAAAAGUAUGAAAUUUGAUUUCUAGAUACUUUAAACAGUAUAUAUAGAUCAUGUUCAACGGUGCCGAUCGUUGAUUUGGAGACUUCGUCAUCGAAAAUAAAUAGGUGACAACAGAGCCCACCAGCUCAACUCUCUAUAUAUAUAAAU
rnacentral:lncRNA from 1 species